rnacentral:tRNA from 1 species
UGGGCAUGUGGUGUAGAUGGUUAUCACGCUUCCUUAGCAUGGAAGAGGUCCCAGAUUCGAGUUCUGGCUUGUCCA